CGCGUAGGCGGCGGGGCAAGUCGGGUGUGAAAUCUCAGGGCUCAACCCCUGAAACUGCACUCGAUACUGCUCUGCCUGAGGACUGGAGAGGAGACUGGAAUUCACGGUGUAGCAGUGAAAUGCGUAGAUAUCGUGAGGAAGACCAGUGGCGAAGGCGGGUCUCUGGACAGUUCCUAACGCUGAGGCGCGAAGGCCAGGGGGAGCAAACG
rnacentral:rRNA from 1 species